UUGAAAUUGAUUUCCCUCAAUUUGUUUUCCUCCCUCCAAAUUUCACCAAUAAAGCACAAACCCUAGUAAUUCUUGGUUGUGCCCGCCGUUUCCAAAACAUAGUCUUCACCUCUCCACCAAAUUCAUUCUUUCUUUCACACAAGUCUUCCGCUCCCCCCUUCUCCUAAAUCGAACCGCGCGCCGCCCCUAAUCAUCAAAUCUAUCUCGCCGCCAACGCCGAAUAAAGUCAUUCGACGUCCCUCGCUGAAGACCGAUCGCCGCGCGGGCCUCCCACGCUGAAGACCGACCACCGCGCCGGCCUCCCGCGCUGAAGACCGACCACCGCGCCGACGUCUGUUCUCGGUGUUGAAUGGGUUGUCUCCGCCGCCACACUUCCUCCGCCACCAGCCCCCAGUAUGUUGGAAUCUUAACACACUUAGAGAUUUUGUGGUUAUGAGAAGUAAAGGGCAACCUGUAUACAACUUUUGUGUAACCGUUGAUGAUGCUACCAUGGCUAUCUCGAAUGCCAUUAGGUGAGUACUACAGCCUGAUACAAAUGUUUCUUACUUUAUUGUUUAUAGUUGUCUAUGGUAUUGGUAUGUAACAGUUAGUAUUCGCAUUCAGAGCUGAAGAGUACUUGCCAAAUACUUUGAGGCAAGCAUUGAUAUUUUGUUACCUAGGUGCGUUUCUUUGGAAUGAUGUAAGUUGGAUCUGAUAUCUUUAGUUUUUUUUUUCCCGAAAAAAGGCGUGUUCACGCUUGUAUUGCAAUUUUCUGUAGAAAAACUAAUUAUCGUAUAAGCGUGAUCAAGUCAAUCUGUAUAUGGUCUUCAAAAUACUAUGCAGUGAUUGAUUGUUGAAAUGAUAGUUCAGAAAUGAACGUAAUCACGCCCUUUUAUAAAUUGUCUACUUAUGCUUAGUAUUAUUCCUUUGUAGAAAAUUAGCGAUUGGAAUAGAGAGAAUAGAAAGAGGAGAGAGCCGACUUUGUGCAUGUGGAGAUGGAUUGAAGCCACUAUCCAAAAGAUGAGAGAUGAUUAAUCUUGAUUUGCAAAAUGAGAAUGAAGAGCUGAAGAAAAAGAAUGAAGAGUUGGCCUCUCGGUUUGAGUAUUUAGAAGCUCAAAUUAGCUACAAUCUCAAGUAAAAGAUCUUUUGAGAGCUAAACUCCCUGCUAUCAUUCAAGGCCUAAAUCAAAGUAGUCAAAUAUCGAGUUCUAAUUAAUGUAAAGUUAGUUGACUAAGUUUAUCUUUUAUUUAUUAGAAAGACAUCGUUUUAUGAUGUUUCAUAAA